UCAGCGGUACAGAAAGCAGCGGUGAAGCAGUGUCGUCUGUCGUGACUCACCACACUGAUUCGUGGCAAAUGCUUCAUAACACUGAAUGAACCAUUUCGACACGUUGCUUGAUAUAUAUUUACUGCUUCAGAAAGCUAAGGUUUCUCCAUCACUAGUACGACCCUAAUUUCCAAAUGUUCCACGUGACGUUGAGACGUGUUUGAUGCACGAAUUCUUCUUUGUUUGUAUGUUUGUUUUCUUUUGAUGCACGAGUUCUUUAGAGCGUCAUCCUCCAGCCUUUGUGUCGUUGGACGUGCGUGCGUGCGUGCGUGACGUAGUCAAGCUUGUGUGUCUGUCACAGAGCGAAAGAGGCUUGCGUCGUAUUAAAUUCUCCUCUGAAGUUUAUCUGGCUGAUCUUCUAUCUGGACCUGAGAGAUGAAGAAGGCACAAUCGCUCCUUUUCCAAGCGUUGACCGUGCUUGGCAUUUGGGCUUCGCUUGGUGAGUUCACGUUUUUAUUUGACUUCAAGGUUCACUGCAAACGUUGUUGGGACUGGAUUUGUUUCUUCAGAUCAUUAGGGGAUCAAUAUAAAAGGGCAUUUUAUUGGCCCCACCUCGGGGAAAUGUAUACUUGUCAGAUUACUAGACAUAUUAAGCAAACUGUCAGUCUCAUUUGAAACAAUGGAAACAAUACAUAAUACAUCCGCGGUUUUGAGACACUUUCUGAUCCGACUGUGAACUUUUGAAAAAAGGGUGUAGUAAAGCCUAUUUAAAACUAACGACUGACUUUAAGCAUUGAUAUACCACUCAUUUAACUCACUGACCGCCACUGACUGAAAACCUGAAACAUUCACUUCGGUUUGCCUUGGAAGGCUGCAAAUGGAUUGGACGUCUAGCACCGUCAUUGGCACAGAAACGUGAGAAUCCAUAGCCAGUCCUCCCAGUUAAGAAUAAGCGCACUUCUGUUGUUGUCAGUAGUAAGCUAAACGAACCAAAAUUAUACAUUAAUACAAAUGUAUAUAUAUAACUAUUUUAAAACUAUUAAAAUUAUUAUGAAUUAAAAAAAAAUAACACUAAAUAUUACUAUUAAAUUGUAUAAUAAUAAUUUUAAUUUAAUAAUAAUAAAUUUAAUAAAUUCAUAAUAAUUUAUUUUUUAAUUUAAUUUUAUAGUAUUAUAUAAUACUAUAUUAUUAGUAGUAGUAGUAUUACUAAAUAUAAUAACACUAAAUAUAUAAUACUAAGUAUUGACUAAUGGCAGUUAAAUACUCUUGUAGUUUAGUUUUAGUUUUAUACUAAAGGGUCAUAGUAUUUACCUAUGAUAUAAAUAAAUAUCUACUUUUUUUAAUUCCAUUAUAAUCUUAAUGAUUUUUUAAUCAAUAAAUUAUCAAUAAACCCAAUAGAUUUGUAUUAAUGUAUAAUUGUAUUUUUUCAUAUAUAAAUAAAAUUAACAUUAAAAAAUAAAAAAUAAAUACAUAUAUGUUACAGUUCUACAUGGACUGAGGUUUUCAAUGCAACGCUUCACAUUCCAGGUGUUUUGUUUCACAUUGCGAGAUGGAUAAUUUUGUAUGUGGUGCUUGUGUGUGUGUUUUGUCAUAAUGUAUCAAACGUAGGAAGAGAAUGUCCAAAAGACAUGUGCUUCAACACAACAGAAAACUUAGCUCCAAAACCAUUGUCUGUGAUCUCAAUUGAUCUGGAUCAUGAAUACAUAUAGGUUGAGGUGCUGGAGGGGGAGGGAUAAUUGAACUUUUAAUGACCGAAGGGAAAACAAACAACAACAAAAAACCUGCAGUUGAACACAAUCUUGAUGACUUUUACAAUUGUUGUUACAAUAUGAUUAACACCCCCCACCAACACAAACCUAUAUAAAGACAAACCGAACACUUUAAAAUGCAACUUUUUUUCACCUCGACCUAUAACCUUACUCACCUUGUCUUCACUGAUGCAAAAGCAUCUAUUGCACUUUCAUAUGACAGUUGUUUUGGAAGGGCACUUCUUUCCUGGACUUGGUGGGCUUGGACUUGGUGCUGAUGUGGAUAAGUUCGCUGUAAAAUGACACAUUUCAAAGACAACCCUAUGCUGAGAGCUACAAACUCUUUUGUGAACAAGUGAUCCGUCAAAGGAUUAUCGUUGACAAAGAAGUGCUCAGAAUGGACAAGCCAAGAAGGUUGUUCGUGAACAUCGUGAAGAACCAUGAGGAUCUUGAUGCUUCAGACUACAGGCGGGAUAUGCUGAAAAGAAGAUUGAAGUGUGAUUUCCCCCAAUUAGUUUUUUAUGGGGAGAGAUUUGUCUCAAAAAUAUUCUCACAAAUGCUUUCGCGAUUCACACAUAUCUUUUGUAGAUGCACAAAUAUAUCAGAGAUUUUCACAUGUAUUUUCGAGAUCCACAAAUAUAUCCAUGAGUUUCACAUGUGUUUUUGUAAUUCACAAGUAUAUCCUCGAAAUUCACAUGUGUUUUUUUUAUGUAGUGCGUGCACUCAUCAUGAAUUAUUGUUUGUAAGCAUUCGAAUUGUAUAUGGGAAUCAGCGGCCGAGUGCAUUUAUUUUUGAGACAAACAUAACAAGAAACGGUCAAAUUUUCUCACACAAGCGCAUUUGCGAUUCACACUUGUGUUUUUCGAAUUCACAAAUACAUCCGCGAUUCUCACAAAUACAUUAGUGAUUUUCACACGUGUUUUUCAGAUCCACAAAUACGUCCGCGUUUUCCUCGUGUGUUUUUUAAAUCCACAAAUACUUCCGCAAAUGUCGCAUGUUUUUUUUAAUGAUGUGCGCGCAAUUAUCAUGACUUGACAUUUUUUAAGCAUUCAGUUUUGCUUGUGAAUUGCUGGAGCUGUGUUUUUUUUGUUUUUGUUUUUUUUUUUAAACAGCGAACACGCGCAUUUCUUUUUGAGACAAACGUCACUCGAUGUUUCACCAAGAUUUUCUCACACACAGUAAACCAAGAAUUUUCACGUGUCUCAAAUAACCUCCGCCUCAGUCCGAUAGGCGGCAGUAUUGAGCGCAUAGAAAGGUCAAAAGUGCCCAUCAACACAGAUGGCAAAUGGUGUUCUACUUAUGUAGCGCUUUUCCACCUUUCAAGGCGCUCAAAGCGCUUUACACUACAUCGCCAUCUACAUACAGGUGACGCAGCACCAGGAGCAAUGUGGGGUUCAGUAUCUUGCUCAAGGAUACUUAGGCGAGUUCAUCAGGGCAGAGAAUUGCACAACCUCUGGGUUGGGGGACAACUACUCUACCGCAGAGCCACGCCAUCCCCAUCCCCAGAUCACAUACGGACACCUAGCGGGUGACAUUACACCGGGCAACAGAUAAACAGGUGUCUUGGGUCCGUUGGAAAACCUACCCUAUUCCAUUUUUUGUUUUUAUGUGUGUUAAUAAAAAAAAAAUAAAAAAAAAAAGAGAAAUGAAUCAUCUCCCGUUUCCCAAUUAAAAACUGCUAAUUCAAUAACGGAAACGAGACUUAAUCCAUUUUACCAAUUAAUGGUUUUGAGCUGAAGUCGAAAAACAAAAUAUGUCCAAUAUUUGUUUUUAUUAACAAAAAAAAAAAAAACAACAGCACAAAUAUGCCAGGGGGUUAUAAACAUUUCAAACAUUGCACAUCAGGAAAAUAACAAAACAAAACACAAACAAAAAAACAAUGAAUAAUGCUGUGAGCAAUUAUUCACAAAGAGAUUCAAGUUUUUCCACAAAUAUUGUUAUUUUCCGCUUUUAGAUUAUUUGAUUUUUUAAACAGAUUUAUGUAGCACACAGUCUCGUUAUGAAAGUGAGAAAAAGAAGGUAACAGCUUGCUAAAUUUACAUUUGUGUAGGUAGAAUUUCGACAAAAUGACAAGAUUAAUAAUAGAAACAAUCUCUUUCUUGAGAUUCUUAUAGAAACAAAAACAAAAAAGACAUUUUCCCAUUUGAGUUUGAAGUCCACAUGUGUAGGCUCCUGAUUCUGAACUUGCAAAGUUCUUUCCAAAAUUUAUUGGAAAAAGAGCAGGUCCAAAAAAGGUGCUGAACUGUCUCUGUAUCAAUGUCCCACUUUAAUUUUUUUCAUGUAGUGGUUUGCAGGAUAGUACUUAUCUAUAGAUAAUUUUGAAAGCGACUUCUUUGACCUUACUUGUCAACCGAAACAUAUUGGGGAUAGUCCAUACUUAGGCGUGGACCAAAUGAUAUCUCCAAAAAGACUUAACAUAUGCUUUGGAUCUAAUCUCGUUCUGAAAUAGAGAUCGAGUAUAUCUAUUCAAAUUUUUGUUAUGUAGUAAACAUAAUUUCCCCACACUUGAAUUUAGUAUAUUUGGAGGAGAUAAAGUUUGAAAUGGCAUGUUUACAUUUCUGCACAGCAUAAUGAAUCCUGAAGGAAUCGCAUCAUCAACACUAGCAUAUUGCUUAGGUCUAACUGGUAACUGAAAAUAAUCCCAAAACUCCGCGUAAAACAUAGGUGCCAUUAAAAAGUUGUGACACAAAAAGUGUCUUCUGCCUCUAAUUGUCCAAAAAUAAAGAUUUGUUUUUGCAAAGAAUUCAAUGAGCCAUGACCCGGAAGACGAGGCCUUAUUGAAGAAAAACAUCGUUUUCCGGUUCAAGGCUCAUUGUAAAAGCGAACUCGGAGGAAAACAAAUAUUGGUCGUAUUUUGUUUUUCGACUUCAGUUCAAUAAAUUGACAUUGUAAAAACGGAUUAAGGUUCGUUUUUCGUUUUUUAUUUUCCAAAAUUAGAAGGAAAAACAAACGGCCUCAAGGUACACGGACAGUCUUGAUAGUUCUUGAAGUUUGGGAAUCAUACUUUUAUAGUCUAUGCGCUCAAAACUGCCACCUAUCAGAUGAAGGCGGAGGUUAUUUGAGACACGUGAAAAUUCUCGGCUUACUGUGUGUGAGAAAAUCUUGGUGAAACAUCGAGUGACGUUUGUCUCAAAAAGAAAUGCGCGUGUUUGCUGUUAAAGAACACAGCUCCAGCAAUUCACAAGCAAAAUUGAAUACUUAAAAAAUGUCAAGUCAUGAUAAUUGCACGCACAUCAUUAAAAAACAUGCGAAACUUGCGGAAGUAUUUGUGGAUUUGAAAAACACUUGUGGAAAACGCGGACGUAUUUGUGGAUCUGAAAAACGCGUGUGAAAAUCACUCAUGUAUUUGUGAGAAUCGCGGAUGUAUUUGUGAAUUUGAAAAACACGUGUGAAUCGCCAAUGCACUUGUUCUUGUUAUGUUUGUCUCAAAAAUAAAUGCACGCGGCCGCUGAUUCACAAAUACAAUUCGAAUGUUUGCAAACAAUAAUUCAUGAUGAGUGCACGCACAACAUUAAAAAACACAUGUGAAUUUCGAGGAUAUAUUAGUGGAUUACAAAAACACAUGUGAAACUCAUGGAUAUAUUUGUGGAUCUCGAAAAUACAUGUGAAAAUCUUGGAUAUAUUUGUGCAUCGACAAAAGAUAUGUGUAAAUCGCGAAAGUAUUUGUGAGAAUAUUUUUGAGACAAAUCUCUCCCCAUAGUUUUUCACACCCCUUUCCAGCGCAACAUGUCUGAAAUGUUUUUUUUGUUUUUUUUGUUGGAGACUUUAUCAUCAACAGACAAACUUUUAGACAGGAUACCUCAGUCAUCAGGUACAUCAGCUACCGACUCUACUGAGGUAAGACAAGAAAGUGACACUGAACAAAUGGCUAGCACACCAUCUGGUUGGAAAUCCACAGAACAAAGAAGGACACUUUACAGUGCAGGGCUGCUAUUGAGGACCAUUCUAAGCGAAUCACCCUCACUGAAAUGCCCAUGGCCUCCCACAGCAGAAGAUUUAAAUGUAUGUGAAGCGAAAGCUGUUGUGCCUGUUGAACAGUACAAUCGAUUGGUGCAACAGAAGAACCAACACUAGCCGGCAAAAGGGCAAACUACGAGGCAGCAGUAAUGCGACAUUGUCUGACUGGUAUGAUGUGUGCCCCUUCACCAAUUGGCAAUGGAUGGGACAUUGAGGAUGGUGAAUUAACAGUAAAAUGGAUGACUAGAAAUCCUGCCCCAGAUAGUGUGCUACAGGUAAUCCACUGUGGUUGCAAGAUAAGCAAGUGUGAGACUGAAAGAUGUUCAUGCUUGUCUGCAAAAAUGUCCUGUACAGAUUUAUGCCACUGCCAGGACUGUGAAAAUAUUUCAAAGGAAAUGGGAUGAUGACACUGAUGAUACUGAUAUUGAUGAGUAAUCACCCACCAUCUCUCCUAUGUUUAGUUUCAUUAUCAAAAUGUUACUCUCCAUUUUAACACCUUUAAAACAACAACAAAAAAAGGCUCUUUUCCCUUUUCCAAAAAAAUAGACCUUUGUUCAAUUUGACUGCCAAAAAAGAUGGAUGUUCCAAUGAAGUGCUAUUGUUUUAUUGAGAGUGCACAUUUCAUAUAUGUGUGUGUAUAUAUAUAUAUAUAUAUAUAUAUAUAUAUGUGUGUGUGUAUAUAUAUAUAUGUGUGUGUGUAUAUAUAUAUAUGUGUGUGUGUAUAUAUAUAUAUGUGUGUGUAUAUAUAUAUAUAUAUGUGUGUGUAUAUAUAUAUAUAUGUGUGUGUGUGUAUAUAUAUAUAUAUGUGUGUGUGUAUAUAUAUAUAUGUGUGUAUAUAUAUAUAUAUGUGUGUAUAUAUAUAUAUGUGUGUGUAUAUAUAUAUAUAUAUAUAUGUGUAUAUAUAUGUGUAUAUAUAUAUAUAUAUAUAUGUAUAUAUAUAUAUAUGUAUAUAUAUAUAUACACACUGAUACACGGCCCAUGGGAAAACCCAUGGACAGUGUAUCAAAUACUUGUUCUCCCCACUCUAUACAUAUAUAUUCCUAGAUUUUGACAAAAUUGGUGCAGGGAAACGUUGGGUGAACUUUUAACCCAAAGUUCAGAAGGGUAUUAUCUUAUCAAAAAAUGCAUUGAACAAGUAGUGCCCAGACAGUGGAACGAAACCCAUUUUCUAGGCACUUUUUCAGGGUCCACCCCAAGGCCUAAUUCUAUUUAACACAAGACUUAUUUUUCAUCCCAUACAAUUUAUUUAGCAAUUGGGGGAAAUUACUUAGAUACAUACUGUAAAAAUAUUGGAGUAGAGAGAUAAAAACAAUGAUGACAUUUUGCUGCUGUCUGUUGCAUUUUCCGCGUUCUGAAUCUUCCCCAUUGGGCUGAUUUCUAAAUCAGCUGAAAUCGUUACUCUGCCGACGUCAUCACCUAGAUGGAGGCACUAGAGCAGGGUUCUCCAACCCAGUCCUCAAGGCACACUGUGGGUCCUGGUUUUUGUUCCAGCCGAUCCAGCAGAGGCAGUUGAGCCAAUGAGGCUUCUGCUAAAACAAGCCACACCUGACUGCAAUCAAGUGAUUGCACUUGUAAAACACCAGAUUGGGGAAAAAGUGUUGUCAUCUUGUUUGGUAGGAAUGAAAUCCUGCACCCACAGUGUGCCUUUGUGGAAUAGGUUGGGGACCCCUGCACUAGAGUGCUACAAUGAUAGGCGGGGCUAAACGGCAGAUUAAAAGAAACAUUUCUCUUCAUCUGCGCUUUGCCAAAUUGUUGUAUAUAGUCGAAUGAUCUCAAAAUAUGAUUUUAAUUCACAUAAUAAUGCUAUUUAAUUUCAUCGUGUCACAGGCGCUUUAAAAGUCAGUGAUUGCAGGACUGGUUUACUUUCAAAAAGUGCUUGAGCCGAGUUUUGAGGGUUUGUAUUGCGGGACACUCCCUGAUGGCCCUACUAUGACCCUAGUCAUGGGGGCGGGGGCAAAUCAAAUACUUAAAUAGUAUUUUUUUAAAUUAAGAAACAAAGCACAUGAAAAAAAAAUACAUAGUAAUGAAGUAAUAAAAUAGAAAUAAUUCUACAUGAAAUGAAAUUCAUUCUAAAAAAAAAAUCAAAACUUCAAAAUAUAAAUGAAAAAUUAUUGAAAUAAAUCAAGAUUAAAAAAAAAAAUAAUAAUAAUAACAUUAAUUCAAAUAAGUGUCCCAUGUGUGAAUUUUGCUGUGGGAAAGUUAUUCAUUUAAUUUUGUUUUGUUUGAUGAAUCUUGUGACCUCUCAUAUCUUAACUCUAUGGCUGCCUCUUACGGUAUUCAAUCCAUUUCAACUGAUUGUUCGAUCGCUUCCAGCCCCUCCCAGUUAAAAUGGAUUGGACGUCUAUCAAUAUCUUUUACUUAUUACCACAACAAAAAUUGUGACCUGGGCUGGCGGUGGUGAGGUAAACUAAUGAUAACUUUUGGAUAGAUGUCCACUGAUGUGACCACUGUAACCGAAAGGGUUAAACAUCAUCCUCAAAAAUAAAAAGUGCAAAUUACCACACAAAUGUUCCUUUUUGUGCUAUACACAAGUGUGGAUGCAACCCCGUUGGUUACAUAACUCUGUCGGAAUGGCUGACGGUUACCCAUUUGAUUAUUUCACCUUAUAACGCAUACUGUAGCUUGAUCUGAGGCUGAAAUGCAUCCCAACUCUUCUUUCUUGAUUUCUGUCCCAAUUUACAUCCAUUGUCCAGUUCACUGGCGCCUGUGGCACAGCUGUGAUGGUGUGUGAUGUAAUCCUACUUGGUUUAGUUAUUGUUGGGUAAAGAGACAUACUAUACAUUGUAUCCAAAAAAUUGUCCAUUGCUGCCAGUUUGCUUGGAUUUAAUAAAUCAAUAUUAAAAUCUCCACAGAUGAAGAAUGUUUUCUGCUUAAUAGUGGAAAACAAUUGGCUCAUCCAUUCAGUGAAGGAAUCAAUACAUGAACCCGGUGAUCGAUAGAUUCAACUGACAAUUAUAUUUUUCUUUUUUUCAUUGGAGAUCUCUAUUGUCAAACAUUCCAAGUGUUCUUGACAUAUCUAUUCAAUUCAAUUUUAUUUGUAUAGCCCUAAAUCACAACAAGGUUGUCUCAAAGGGCUUUGCAGAGGCAAUAUGAUACAAAAUCAGAAACAGCAAAUGAAGCAAUGAAGAUGAAUACAUACAUUUCAAGUCCUGGGCAUCCCCCAUCCUUAGACCCUCCAUGUCGGCAAGGAAAAACUCCAAAAACUCCAGAGUCUUUGGGAGAAAAUGAGAAACCUUGGGAAGUACCACACUGAGGAGAGAUCCACUCCCGGGACAGAUAGGCAGGGAGCACCAGUACUGCUAAUGGGAAUUAGCAGGCGAAGUUACAGUCCGUAAAGAUACAUUGGAGUAAAGGAACAAGAAGAGGUCCAUCUAGCCAGAUGAGACGGGGGUAGCAACGAGGACAUCCAUCCAGCCAGGGGUCCGGACAGUCAGGAGGCUGCAGCUGAAAAAGGGGUGGGGGGAAAGGGGAGACCGGGUGACGAGUGAUGAAGAGACUAGACAGAUAUUACCAUAUUACUAGAUAUUACCAUUGGAAAAUAGAAAUUAAGUAAGACAAGUGGUACUGUAGGUAGAGUGAGAAAAAGGAGAUAGAACUCAGUGGCUGUACUUCCCCCAGCAUUAUAGCUUCUAGUGCAGCUGUAUCUGUUAAUACCAUACAUUUAAUUGAUUUAUGAAUAUAUAGGGCAACUCCACCACCAGUUUUCUUUUCUCUAUGUAUUUUAAUUCGUAAUCAUCCAUAAGAAAAUCAAUACCUUUAUCAAUAUUAAACCACGUUUCUGUGAUCGCAAUUAUGCUGAAGGGGUGUGUAAAUUGGUGCAGAUAGUCUUUGGUAGAGCUGACAUUUUUGUACAUGCUUCUGCUGUUGAAAUGUAUAAUUGACAGUUUUGCCCAUUGAGUUGAUAUGAUUUUCAUACAGAUCUUGUGUAAAAAUAAUCGCAAUUGGUAACAGUAGAAGAAAAGAAAUGAUUGUCAGGAUCACUUUCUAUAUUAGGGACUCUUUUGUUGGACUCGUUGGAUUUAAAGGCCUCAAGUUCUAUUUGUUUGUUCUGAAGGGUUCGCAGAAGUGGAUCAAUGUCGCUCUUAUUCCUGAGUACAGUUCGUGUGUUUGAUGUAUCG